GACGAACGCUGGCGGCGUGCUUAACACAUGCAAGUCGAACGGAAAGGCCCUGCUUUUGUGGGGUGCUCGAGUGGCGAACGGGUGAGUAACACGUGAGUAACCUGCCCUUGACUUUGGGAUAACUUCAGGAAACUGGGGCUAAUACCGGAUAGGAGCUCCUGCUGCAUGGUGGGGGUUGGAAAGUUUCGGCGGUUGGGGAUGGACUCGCGGCUUAUCAGCUUGUUGGUGGGGUAGUGGCUUACCAAGGCUUUGACUGGUAGCCGGCCUGAGAGGGUGAACGGCCACAUUGGUACUGAGGUACGGACCAGAGUCCUACGAGAGGCAGCAGUGGGGAAUAUUGCACAAUGAGCGGAAGCCUGAUGCAGCAACGCCGCGUGCGGGAUGACGGCCUUCGGGUUGAAAACCGCUUUCGCCUGUGACGAAGCGUGAGUGACGGUAAUGAGUAAAGAAGCACCGGCUAACUACGUG
rnacentral:rRNA from 1 species